rnacentral:snRNA from 1 species
GGGCUGGCUUCGGCAGCAUGUGUCCUAAAAUUUGAAUAAUACAGGUAGAAUGAGCGUGGCUCCUGGGCCAGGAUGACAGGUGAACUAGUGAUGCGUUGGAGACGUUU